CGUACAGAACCUCCCUCCAAGUGGUGAAUAGCCUUCCGAAAGGAAGAUUAAUACACCGUAAUAUUAUAGAGUGGCAUCACCUUAUAAUUAUAGAUUUAUCGCUUAGAGAUGGCUGUGCGGCUGAUUAGGUAGUUGGCGGGGUAAUAGCCCACCAAGCCUGCGAUCAGUAACUGGUGUGAGAGCACGACCAGUCACACGGGCACUGAGACACGGGCCCG
rnacentral:rRNA from 1 species